UACGUAGGGUGCGAGCGUUAAUCGGAAUUACUGGCGUAAAGCGUGCGCAUGGCGGUGAUGUAAGACAGAUGUGAAAUCCCCGGGCUCAACCUGGGAACUGCAUUUGUGACUGCAUAGCUAGAGUACGGUAGAGGGGGAUGGAAUUCCGCGUGUAGCAGUGAAAUGCGUAGAUAUGCGGAGGAACACCGAUGGCGAAGGCAAUCCCCUGGACCUGUACUGACGCUCAUGCACGAAAGCGUGGGGAGCAACAGGAU
rnacentral:rRNA from 1 species